GUCAGAAAAAGCGUCAAACAAAAAAAAAAAAAAAACGUUGGAAAAAAAAGUUUUAAUUUAAACGACAGGAAGACAACACAAGGGUUAACUGGUUCGAGACACACGGUUCUUGUUCAUGGUCGCAGUGGUCACAGAAUGAACUGUGGCUGCUGGUCCAUCUGGUCUUACUAGAAUCAGAACCAUGGCGUCCGGUUGUACUGGCCAAGGACCACAGCAGCACAAAGACGGACUCCAGAAUCUGGAACCUGCUGAUGGGCUAACUGGGUGCCAAGAAGACAAGGGAUGCUCCGCUCAGGCUAUCUGAGGCCGAUGUCAUUGGGAUUGUCCAAACCAAUACUGAUUACUGACUGGUUUCUGUUCUUAAACGCUGACUUAUUUAUUUCAAAGUCUUUACUAGGUUUGGGAAUCCUUUGGGGUUUUUUUUAUCGAAUCUAGAAGGAUGGGAUCCAUAAGACUACAGUAAAAUGAGAUGCAGCUGCUUGAAUUUGAUUCUGACAUGUUGGGUAAUCCUGCAGAAAAAUGAAAUCCUCCAAAAGUCCAUUAAA